rnacentral:rRNA from 1 species
GAUGAACGCUGGCGGCGUGCUUAACACAUGCAAGUCGAACGGAAAGGCUCUUGCUUGCUGGGGUACUCGAGUGGCGAACGGGUGAGUAACACGUGGGUGAUCUGCCCUGCACUUCGGGAUAAACCUGGGAAACUGGGUCUAAUACCGGAUAGGACGAUGGUUUGGAUGCCAUUGUGGAAAGUUUUUCGGUGUGGGAUGAGCUCGCGGCCUAUCAGCUUGUUGGUGGGGUAAUGGCUUACCAAGGCGUCGACGGGUAGCCGGCCUGAGAGGGUGUACGGCCACAUUGGGACUGAGAUACGGCCCAGACUCCUACGGGAGGCAGCAGUGGGGAAUAUUGCACAAUGGGCGGAAGCCUGAUGCAGCGACGCCGCGUGGGGGAUGACGGCCUUCGGGUUGUAAACUCCUUUCGCUAGGGACGAAGCGCAAGUGACGGUACCUGGAGAAGAAGCACCGGCUAACUACGUG